AACGAACGCUGGCGGCAGGCCUAACACAUGCAAGUCGAGCGCGCCUUCGGGUGAGCGGCGGACGGGUUAGUAACGCGUGGGAACGUGCCCUUCUCUACGGAAUAGCCUCUGGAAACGGAGAGUAAUACCGUAUACGCCCUUUGGGGGAAAGAUUUAUCGGAGAAGGAUCGGCCCGCGUUAGAUUAGGUAGUUGGUGGGGUAACGGCCUACCAAGCCUACGAUCUAUAGCUGGUUUUAGAGGAUGAUCAGCAACACUGGGACUGAGACACGGCCCAGACUCCUACGGGAGGCAGCAGUGGGGAAUCUUAGACAAUGGGCGAAAGCCUGAUCCAGCCAUGCCGCGUGAGUGAUGAAGGCCCUAGGGUUGUAAAGCUCUUUCGCCAGGGAAGAUAAUGACGGUACCUGGUAAAGAAACCCCGGCUAACUCCGUGCCAGCAGCCGCAGUAAAAC
rnacentral:rRNA from 1 species